rnacentral:snoRNA from 1 species
UGCUUUGAUGACUCAUUUUUUUACAAACUAGAGUUUCUGAUUGUUUAACGUGAUCUAAAAUUCUUUAACUGAGU